GUGGGGAAUCUUCCGCAAUGGACGAAAGUCUGACGGAGCAACGCCGCGUGAGUGAAGAAGGUUUUUGGAUCGUAAAGCUCUUUCGUUAGGGACGAACGUGCUCUUUGUGAAUAAUGAGGAGUAAUGACGGUACCUAAAUAAGAAGCCACGGCUAACUACGUGCCAGCAGCCGCGGUAAUACGUAGGUGGCAAGCGUUGUCCGGAAUUAUUGGGCGUAAAGCGCGCGCAGGCGGGAUAUCAAGUCUGUCUUAAAAGUGCGAGGCUCAACCUCGUGAGGGGACAGAAACUGGUAUUCUUGAGUGUCGGAGAGGAAAGUGGAAUUCCAAGUGUAGCGGUGAAAUGCGUAGAGAUUUGGAAGAACACCAGUGGCGAAGGCGACUUUCUGGACGAUGUCUGACGCUGAGGCGCGAAAGCUAGGGGAGCGAACGGGAUUAGAUACCCUAGUAGUCC
rnacentral:rRNA from 1 species